rnacentral:rRNA from 1 species
UGGGGAAUCUUGGACAAUGGGGGCAACCCUGAUCCAGCCAUGCCGCGUGAGUGAUGAAGGCCUUAGGGUCGUAAAGCUCUUUCGCCUGUGAAGAUAAUGACGGUAGCAGGUAAAGAAACCCCGGCUAACUCCGUGCCAGCAGCCGCGGUAAUACGAAGGGGGCUAGCGUUGUUCGGAUUUACUGGGCGUAAAGCGCACGUAGGCGGAUCGUUAAGUGAGGGGUGAAAUCCCAGGGCUCAACCCAGGAAUUGCCUUUGAUACUGUUAGACUAGAGUUCGGGAGAGGGUAGUGGAAUUCCCAGUGUAGAGGUGAAAUUCGUAGAUAUUGGGAAGAACACCAGUGGCGAAGGCGGCUCACUGGCUCGAUACUGACGCUGAGGUGCGAAAGUGUGGGGAGCAAACAGGAUUAGAUACCCUGGUAGUCCACACCGUAAACGAUGAAUGCCAGUCGUCGGGUAGCAUGCUAUUCGGUGACACACCUAACGGAUUAAGCAUUCCGCCUGGGGAGUACGGUCGCAGA